rnacentral:rRNA from 1 species
AUUGAACGCUGGCGGCAUGCCUUACACAUGCAAGUCGAACGGUAACAGGUCUUCGGAUGCUGACGAGUGGCGAACGGGUGAGUAAUACAUCGGAACGUGCCUAGUAGUGGGGGAUAACUACUCGAAAGAGUGGCUAAUACCGCAUGAGAUCUACGGAGGAAAGCAGGGGAUCGCAAGACCUUGUGCUACUAGAGCGGCAGAUGGCAGAUUAGGUAGUUGGUGGGAUAAAAGCUUACCAAGCCGACGAUCUGUAGCUGGUCUGAGAGGACGAUCAGCCACACUGGGACUGAGACACGGCCCAGACUCCUACGGGAGGCAGCAGUGGGGAAUUUUGGACAAUGGGCGCAAGCCUGAUCCAGCAAUGCCGCGUGCAGGAUGAAGGCCUUCGGGUUGUAAACUGCUUUUGUACGGAACGAAAAGCCCCGGGUUAAUACCCUGGGGUCAUGACGGUACCGUAAGAAUAAGCACCGGCUAACUACGUGCCAGCCGCCGCAGUAA